rnacentral:rRNA from 1 species
UACAGAGGGUGCAAGCGUUGUUCGGAAUUAUUGGGCGUAAAGGGCGCGUAGGCGGUGCCACAAGUCACCUGUGAAAUCUCCGGGCUCAACUCGGAGUCUGCAGGAGAAACUGCCGUGCUUGAGUGUGGGAGAGGUGAGUGGAAUUCCCGGUGUAGCGGUGAAAUGCGUAGAUAUCGUAAGGAAGACCAGUGGCGAAGGCGGGUCUCUGGACAGUUCCUGACGCUGAGGCACGAAGGUCAGGGGAGCAAACGGG